AAUAAGCGGAGGAAAAGAAACUAACAAGGAUUCCCCUAGUAACGGCGAGUGAAGCGGGAAGAGCUCAAAUUUGUAAUCUGGCGGUCUCGCGGCCGUCCGAGUUGUAAUCUGGAGAAGCGUUUUCGGUGCCGGCCCGCGUACAAGUCCCCUGGAACGGGGCGUCGCAGAGGGUGAGAAUCCCGUCUCUGACGCGGCAACGCCGGCGCCGUGCGAUGCGCUCUCGAAGAGUCGAGUUGUUUGGGAAUGCAGCUCAAAACGGGUGGUAAAUUCCAUCUAAAGCUAAAUACUGGCGAAAGACCGAUAGCGAACAAGUACCGUGAGGGAAAGAUGAAAAGCACUUUGGAAAGAGAGUCAAACAGUACGUGAAAUUGUUGAAAGGGAAACGCUUGAAGUCAGUCGCGUCUCUCGGGACUCAAUCGGACCCCUAGGGUCCGACGCACUUCCCGAGUCGGACGGGCCAACGUCGAUUUCUAUCGCCGUAAAAAGGCGCGA
rnacentral:rRNA from 1 species